GGUUAAAAAUCCCAUUUGUUUCUGCCAUUAAAAAUGGGCAUGGUUGACAAAAUAUCCAAAUGGUGACACAUAAUGUGUCACGUGUACCUUAUGCUGACGUACAGGGAAAAAUUUUUAACAGUAGAAAUGGAUAUAAUAGAAUUUUUAAUA
rfam:Gossypium hirsutum cultivar TM-1 unplaced genomic scaffold scaffold944.1, whole genome shotgun sequence